AAUCAAUCAAGCAGCGGAUAUACGAUUGAAGUAAAAAAAAAAACCCUCUAUUGCCAUUGGGAAGUCUGAAAACUUGUAACAUAACCACCACUUGAACUAAUUGACAUACACAAAUUUUACAGAUAUUCAUUCCCAUAUGGAAAACAUCCUCCUCCGCUGCUGCGUAAAAAAAUAAAAUAAUAUGAAGUUAGGGUUAGCCGGAAAAGAAAAGAGCGCUAAUCAAUUCACCACCUUUGUUGCAGGGAUAUAUAUGGUUAUUGAUGCUGGAGCUGUUUCCUGUUUCGGAAAUAUAUAACACGGAUAAUAGUCAUUGAUUGUGAAUCUUUCGAGAGAUAUUGACUGCAAUCGCGAUCUCAGGUAUGGCUUCCAUGAUCUGCUUGGUGUAAAAAGGGAUUUUCUAGUGUUUUUGACGAUAUUUUUUCCGCUAUGAGAACUAAAGUGAUUGAUGUGCUAUGGUAGAUGAUGAAUUAAUGAUAUAUAGCCGACACAUUUCUUGUAUAUUCUCUUGUAACAUACAUUCUUUAAUAAAAAUAGCUGUCAUUCUUCUGCCA